UACCUAAACAAAUUUAAAAAGUUAAGCUUUUAAAUAACUAUUAAAGAUAUUAUCCCCUUGUAGUGUAGUUUAAUAGCUAUCUACAUAAUAACUUAAUAUAAAGUAUAAUAGUUUAUAUUUUAUAAUAUGACGUUAACAAUUUUGUUUAAUAUUUGAAAAUGUUAGUAUUAGUAAUAUUAGUAUAUGUGCUAAAGGAACUCGGCAAAAAACCCCUCAACUGUUUAUCAAAAACAUAGCUAUAUGAAUUAAUGUAUAGUUAUUUCUGCUCAAUGACUUAAAUAGCCGCAGUACUCUGACUGUGCAAAGGUAGCAUAAUCAGUUGGCUUUUAAUUAGAGUCUGGUAUGAACGAAAAUAUGGGUAGUAACUGUCUUAGCACAUUUUUUCGAACUUAUUAAACAAGUGCAAAUGCUUGUAAUUUAACAAUAGACGAGAAGACCCUAGAAACUUGGACAAGUUUUUGUUGGGGCGACAGAAUUACACUUAACUAAUCUUAUAAUACACGACGCGAUGUUGAAAGAAUAAGUUACUCUAGGGAUAACAGCAUAAUUUUAUUAGUUUGUGACCUCGAUGUUGGACUAGGUACUAUACCCUUAAGGCAAGGAUAUAUUAUGCUCUGUUCGAGCAAAAUUACCUACAU
rnacentral:rRNA from 1 species